AUUAUUGGGCGUAAAGAGCUCGUAGGCGGUUUGUCGCGUCUGCUGUGAAAACUGGAGGCUCAACCUCCAGCCUGCAGUGGGUACGGGCAAACUAGAGUGCGGUAGGGGAGAUUGGAAUUCCUGGUGUAGCGGUGGAAUGCGCAGAUAUCAGGAGGAACACCGAUGGCGAAGGCAGAUCUCUGGGCCGUAACUGACGCUGAGGAGCGAAAGCAUGGGGAGCGAACAGGAUUAGAUACCCUGGUAGUCCAUGCCGUAAACGUUGGGCGCUAGAUGUGGGGACCAUUCCACGGUUUCCGUGUCGCAGCUAACGCAUUAAGCGCCCCGCCUGGGGAGUACGGCCGCAAGGCUAAAACUCAAAGGAAUUGACGGGGGCCCGCACAAGCGGCGGAGCAUGCGGAUUAAUUCGAUGCAACGCGAAGAACCUUACCAAGGCUUGACAUAUACCUGAAAAGGCUGGAAACAGUCUCCCCGCAAGGCAGGUAUACAGGUGGUGCAUGGUUGUCGUCAGCUCGUGUCGUGAGAUGUUGGGUUAAGUCCCGCAACGAGCGCAACCCUCGUUCUAUGUUGCCAGCACGUAAUGGUGGGAACUCAUAGGAGACUGCCGGGGUCAACUCGGAGGAAGGUGGGGAUGACGUCAAAUCAUCAUGCCCCUUAUGUCUUGGGCUUCACGCAUGCUACAAUGGCCGGUACAAAGGGCUGCAAUACCGUAAGGUGGAGCGAAUCCCAAAAAGCCGGUCUCAGUUCGGAUUGAGGUCUGCAACUCGACCUCAUGAAGUCGGAGUCGCUAGUAAUCGCAGAUCAGCAACGUGCGGUGAAUACGUUC
rnacentral:rRNA from 1 species